GAUGAACGCUGGCGGCGUGCCUAAUACAUGCAAGUCGAGCGAACAGACGAGGAGCUUGCUCCUCUGACGUUAGCGGCGGACGGGUGAGUAACACGUGGAUAACCUACCUAUAAGACUGGGAUAACUUCGGGAAACCGGAGCUAAUACCGGAUAAUAUAUUGAACCGCAUGGUUCAAUAGUGAAAGACGGUUUUGCUUUCACUUAUAGAUGGAUCCGCGCCGCAUUAGCUAGUUGGUAAGGUAACAGCUUACCAAGGCAACGAUGCGUAGCCGACCUGAGAGGGUGAUCGGCCACACUGGAACUGAGACACGGUCCAGACUCCUACGGGAGGCAGCAGUAGGGAAUCUUCCGCAAUGGGCGAAAGCCUGACGGAGCAACGCCGCGUGAGUGAUGAAGGUCUUCGGAUCGUAAAACUCUGUUAUUAGGGAAGAACAAAUGUGUAAGUAACUAUGCACGUCUUGACGGUACCUAAUCAGAAAGCCACGGCUAACUACGUG
rnacentral:rRNA from 1 species